GAAGGAGCAACUGGCUGCCUGGCCUUGUAAGAAGGUGGCAUCACAUGAAUGUCACAUCUUUUCGAGGGCCUCCUUGCAGCAGCUGAGCUAUUCAUAAGAACACAGGUAGGUGAGAGGAAACGACAGACUCACUUCUUGUGAGACCAGCUCACAAACUAAAGCAACACCGGCUCUGUGUUCUCGCCGGCUCUCCCUCCUCCCUCCUCCAGGUGCCAGAUUCGAGACUGAAUUGCUUUAGAAUCCAUCUUAGUGCUGUGGGGCGUGACAGAUCCCAGAUCCUAUUUUUAAUUUCAUGGCUGGAGAGAUGAGACCCAGAGCACUUUUAUAUCUUAACCUAACACAUGCUGGUCACUCGGUAGACAGGCUAUGACUACAUAUGACAGAAACCCCAGGAGCCCACACAGACGGUGCUGCUUCUUCACACUAAGCAAGAUCUGGAGGUCUAUCUCCCCGUGGUUGUGGCCAUGUCUGUAACUGCUGGUCCUCAUGGCAAAUACGUAGAGGGAGGAAGACACGUUCCUGCCCAGCUUGGGUGCCAAUGCAGGGCAUGUCCCCCUCCAUUCACCCUACUGGCUGUCACCCUUACUGUUUUCUCACAGGUGUGAUUGGAAGGAGAAAGCCACAGCUGUGAGCUUUGGUUGGCUGAGCCAUGUUGAAGACUUUGCUUCUGUUUGUACAUAGAAGUGAGGUUUGAUUGACAUGGAAAUGUCUGGGGGUGACAGUCAUUGUCACUUACUCCCUCCCCUUCCUUGGUUCUUUUGAAACUGGGAAACUUUUUAAAAUGGAGCCUCUCUCUCGUAGGCAGA